UACUGUAAGCAAAUUUCAUCCAAGCUUCUACUGUAAAUAAAUUUUUUUUGAACUUCUAUUAUAGGCAGACUUCAGUCGAGCUCCUACAGUGGACGGAUCUCAGACGAGCUUCUACGACGGGGUAGGAUCCACUAACCAGGUCACUACUUCGAGCUCCCACGACAAUUGAUCUUUGAUCGAGCUUCUAUAAUAAGUGAUCUCCUUUCAGCCUUCUACAAGAACCAGACUCCAUCCGAACUUCCAUAGUGGAUGGAUAUCGGAUAAGCUUCUACAACGGAUGGG
rnacentral:lncRNA from 1 species